rnacentral:misc_RNA from 1 species
CAGAGGAUCGCCCGUUGGCCACUAUGAGAUUUAAAAAAAAAUGGCUGCCUCCAUGACAUAAUCGUGUUCCCGGUGUGCUUUCGUUCAAAAUGAGCUGUUUUCACUCUAAACAGCUGAUCCUCCCGUCCAGAGCAGCGUUGCUUGGACGACAGAUUCAACACGUAAUAAGAAAGCAGCUUCUUUGUUCUCAAAACAAGGACCAAACCCCGCUAUCAUUCGAUGCAAUCCUCAAUCAGAGGAGAAAGGAGUCAUCUGCAAGCAUACUUGUAGAAGUGGAAAAUCGACACAAAAUCACGGAGCUUUGUCAAGAAUGUUCACGGUACGGGAACAUUCGGAAGGCAUACUAUUAUGCGGACAACUCUCACAAAUGUCAGGUGCUUUUAGAAUUCAGCCACUCGGACGAGGUGCAAGAGCUAUUACAAAGUUGUGGUCACGUGUCGUCUGAUGGCUUCCCUGUGCGGACAAGACUGUUGAAAUUUGCGCCGAAAAAGGCGACGAGACCAAUAAAAAAAUCUUUCUCUGUUACUAUAGAAGCCUCUCCAAACACUACACCUCAGACUCAAGCAAUAAAAUUGAUUCAAAGCAGCACGAUCGCUGAACAGAUGACACAGUUUUACGAGAUGGAAAAGCUAAGCGACCUGGAGACACGGCUCGGGUUUAUAGUCUGCAGACAAGUUGAAGAGUUUAUAAGUGGACUAUAUCCGAAGGGGCAGGUCUUGCCAUUUGGCUCCCUUGUCAAUGGUUUUGGCAGGCAUAACUGUGACAUUGAUAUGGUCUACUGUGUUCCAGAAGCCACGGAGUCGAGUGGGCAACUGUACUUCCAAGACAAGAACCAGGCAAUGAAUGAUCGGACAUUGGUGCAACGAGUACUUGAAACGCUUGGAGACCUGCUCCAUUAUGUUGUGCCUGGCGUGUCUGAGGUGCAGCGCAUCCUCAGGGCCCGUGUGCCUAUUGUCAAGUUCCAGCACAACGUUGUGGGCAGAGAGUGCGACCUCACUCUGAACAACAUGUCUGGAGUGCAUAUGUCCCGACUUCUGCACUCGUGCACCCAGCUGGCACCUGCUCUCUGCCCUCUGCUGUUCACAGUUCGGAGCUGGGCAAUGGCCCAAGGUGUCACAACCAAGGUCCCUGGCACAUGGAUCACAAAUUUCCAGUUGACACUGUUGGCCAUUUUCCAUCUGCAGCAGUGUGGCCUCCUACCAUCGCUUAGAGACCUUGAAGACAAAAAGCGUCUCAAGACAUGGCAAAAGUCAAGAUUACCACAUGAGAAAGCGGAAGAACUUGAAGACCUCUUGAGGAGCUUUUUUGAGUACUACGCAUCGUUCAACUUUAAGAGCAAAGGCAUUGCACCGUUCUCUGGACAGACCCUAGAGAAGCCCGAGUAUACUGCCAUGUUUGUGCAAAACCCACUUGACCGGCAGCUGAAUGCCAGUCGCAACAUUGGAUUGAGUGACCUGAAGAAGCUGCAGGGCCGCAUGGCUGAUGCCCUUUCUCUCAUGGAUAAUGCUCCACGCAAAAUAACCAUGGAGAAGCCAUGGGGCAUCAUGGCACUGUUCACUGCCCAGACAGCUGCUGCGAGGAAGCAGCAAGAUGCAAUGCACAGACGUUUUCAAGUGCAUGAGCUUUUCCAGGAGGGCAAGGAAGCGGGUGAAAAUUACGUGAUAGAAGCCACCGUGACUGGCGUUAAGACCACAAGCUAACACCUGCGAGAGGGUUGGAAACAUUGAAUGCAGUUUCUUUUUGUGCAAAAGAACUCAUGUAGAAAAUUCCUGCAAAGUGAAAGUGCUCCAAAGAAUCAGCUACACAACUCCAAAACAGCACUGGCUUGUGGCAGGUCUUUUCCAAUACCUCAAUACCUGCAGCAACCUGACCUAUCCUAGAUACUAAAGCUGAACUGAAGAAGAAGCUUUAACAUAGGACCUUAUUCCAGUUACCUUAUUGAAAUAAAUGCAAAAUGCAGAAAUGCUUUAUGAGAUAUUGUUGAACCAGUUUGAAAUAAAUUUGUUGCAUCUGAAAGAGGAAGUUAUAUUCUAGUUGCUGUAAAGUGGAAAUUUUAUUUAGG